AGCACAGUAUUGUUAAGUGGAAAAUGCAAUGUUUAUUUCCUUUCCCUGUGAACAUAUUCCAUAUUCAAGUAUCAAGAAUGCCCAGUUU